rnacentral:rRNA from 1 species
UACAGAGGUCUCAAGCGUUGCUCGGAUUUACUGGGCGUAAAGGGCGCGUAGGCGGCGCGACAAGUCACUUGUGAAAUCUCUGGGCUCAACCCAGAACGGUCAAGUGAUACUGUCGUGCUAGAGUGCGGAAGGGGCAACUGGAAUUCUCGGUGUAGCGGUGAAAUGCGUAGAUAUCGAGAGGAACACCUGCGGCGAAGGCGGGUUGCUGGGCUGACACUGACGCUGAUGCGCGAAAGCCAGGGGAGCGAACGGG